rnacentral:rRNA from 1 species
UACGUAGGGAGCAAGCGUUGUCCGGAAUCAUUGAGCGUAAAGCGCGUGUAGGCGGUUCGGUAAGUCCGCUGUGAAAGUCGGGGGCUCAACCCUCGAAAGCCGGUGGAUACUGUCGGGCUAGAGUACGGAAGAGGCGAGUGGAAUUCCUGGUGUAGCGGUGAAAUGCGCAGAUAUCAGGAGGAACACCUAUUGCGAAGGCAGCUCGCUGGGACGUUACUGACGCUGAGACGCGAAAGCGUGUGGAGCAAACAGG